rnacentral:rRNA from 1 species
UACGUAUGGAGCAAGCGUUAUCCGGAUUUACUGGGUGUAAAGGGUGCGUAGGUGGUCUGGCAAGUCUGAUGUGAAAUGCCGGGGCUCAACCCCGGAGCUGCAUUGGAAACUGCUGGACUGGAGUGCAGGAGAGGCAGGCGGAAUUCCUAGUGUAGCGGUGAAAUGCGUAGAUAUUAGGAAGAACACCAGUGGCGAAGGCGGCCUGCUGGACUGAGACUGACACUGAGGCACGAAAGCGUGGGGAG